AACGAUCCCAGUUCACCUUCUGUCAGGAUGACCUCUGACCCCUGAGACUGGGUGGUGUCUGGCUGAACCUUCAGUCGAUGUGAACUGCUGAAGAAGAGACGCUGCGAUCCUCUCAGCCGUUUUCAGGAAGUCUGUGGCUUUUCAUCGUCAACCACAGUUUUCUGUCAGAACACAGAAAACCACAGAAGAAGAAGAUUUCCCCCAACAGACGUGCAGACGGGGCGUGUGUCGAGUUCUGCCGACCAACUUCCUGUUUCCUCUGUUGAACCGGCAGACUCAGCCUGGCGCUGAUGAAGAGGAGGAGGAUGAAGAUGAUCCUCGCUCUGCUUCUGAAGAGUCUGAAGUUUCAUCUGUAGAAUUUAUCAUCGGGACGUUUUCAGUCACAAGAUGGCCGCCAGGACGGGGUUCACUGGAGAGACACCAGGGGUCAGUAUCUGACCUGAGAGAGGAAGAGCCAUCCAUCCAUCCAGAGGUCAGAGGUCAAGCCUCCCGGAGUAUGAACGCAUCAGUUCAUCAGCAGGUCUGGUGGGAACAGCGACAUGUAGCCCUCUGACCUGUAGGGGGCAGCAGGGAGCCGGGUGGUGGAGCUCCAGUCUAACUGGGACAGACUGGUCUGUUUCCAUUAAAUGUUUAUUAAAGUUAUGAAACGAUUUAAAAACCUGAUGGUUCACAGCAGAGAUGGGAGACUGGCUUCAAACAGAGCAGCGCUGCUUCAGCAAAUCACUGAAGUGUUUAAUAAUUCGUCUGAUCGGAGCCGAUCCGCCCAGACUUCCCAGUUCCUCUGAAGGUUUCUGAGAGUUCAGACUGGGAGCACGCUGGUCUCCAUGGCGAUGGGAAAAUCAGACCGAGCACUCGUUUGUUUCUUAUGAGGCGUAAAGCUUCCUGCAUGGGGAACAGAGUGAGACUUCCUGUGAGGCACCAACAGCGUUUCUCCAGAAAUUCUGCAGCUGCAGGGAAAACACUGCAGGUAAAGAGGAAACGCUCAGGAAAAACGACAGAAAAACGACAGAAAAACGACAGAAACAUCAAAGGAAUGAUAGAAAAAUACAACAAAUAUCAGAAAGCAGCAGGAAAACUAAAGAAAAACGACCACAACGAGAUGGAGAUGCGCGUCCAGACCGACCGCCAGGGGGCGCAUGUGCUGCUGAUUAUUCAUCUGGACGAACUUCCAACCAAACCUACAGAAAACAAACCUCGUUAGUUCUGAUGAUCCUCAGAAAAACUGACAAUCGAUUAUUGAUUGAUUAAUUGAUUAUAAACUUCCACAUGAAGAACUUUUAAAUGAUCAGAACAACAGAACCAGGUUCCUUCCUGGCAUAUUAAUCUACAUAACCUGCUGCCCCCUACAGGCCGGGGGGUUACGUGUCGCUUCCUUUGAAAAUAUUAUACUAUAAAUUUUUUCAACAAUU